CGUAAACAAAGGGAAGCGAGCCUGUGAAGGGGAGCAAAUCCCAAAAAUAACGUCCCAGUUCGGAUUGUAGUCUGCAACCCGACUACAUGAAGCUGGAAUCGCUAGUAAUCGCGGAUCAGAAUGCCGCGGUGAAUACGUUCCCGGGUCUUGUACACACCGCCCGUCACACCAUGGGAGUCGGAAAUGCCCGAAGUCUGUGACCCAACCUUAGGGAGGGAGCAGCCGAAGGCAGGUCGGAUGACUGGGGUGAAGUCGUAACAAGGUAUC
rnacentral:rRNA from 1 species